rnacentral:lncRNA from 1 species
CUGCCUCCUCCGCGCGCGCGCGCGCGCGCGUGCGGGCAAGACGCGCGCCGCUGGGGCGGAGACCCCCAAAAUUUCCAGAAAACUUUCGCCCGGCGAGUAGCAAAAAAGGUGCAGAUCUUUCGUCGACGUCCGAGACCGGGGGUAAACAUAACCUCACCGCAGCGUGUGCCACAUUUUCGCAAUGUUGUAUCGUGGCUGUCCUCCGACGGAACCAUGGCGUCGGGUGCCCCUACGAAGAACUGUGCCAGCGCCGAUGCCCCGAGUACUUGUGCGAAAUAAACUAUGCGAAAGCGGCGGUGAGCGACAUGGUGGUGCCUGCACUGCGAAUAUACGAAAACCUGGAAA